AUUGAACGCUGGCGGCAGGCCUAACACAUGCAAGUCGAACGGUAACAGGAAGCAGCUUGCUGCUUCGCUGACGAGUGGCGGACGGGUGAGUAAUGUCUGGGAAACUGCCUGAUGGAGGGGGAUAACUACUGGAAACGGUAGCUAAUACCGCAUAACGUCGCAAGACCAAAGAGGGGGACCUUCGAGCCUCUUGCCAUCGGAUGUGCCCAGAUGGGAUUAGCUAGUAGGUGGGGUAACGGCUCACCUAGGCGACGAUCCCUAGCUGGUCUGAGAGGAUGACCAGCCACACUGGAACUGAGACACGGUCCAGACUCCUACGGGAGGCAGCAGUGGGGAAUAUUGCACAAUGGGCGCAAGCCUGAU
rnacentral:rRNA from 1 species